rnacentral:rRNA from 1 species
UACGUAGGGGCCUAGCGUUGUCCGGAUUUAUUGGGCGUAAAGAGCUCGUAGGCGGUUCGGCAAGUCGGAUGUGAAAUCUCCACGCUUAACGUGGAGGGGCCAUUCGAAACUGCCGUGACUCGAGUCCGGUAGGGGAGUGUGGAAUUCCCGGUGUAGCGGCGAAAUGCGUAGAGAUGCGGAGGAACACCGAUGGCGAAGGCAGCCCCCUGGGCUGACACUGACGCUCAGGCACGAAAGCGUGGGGAGCAAACAGG